UACGGGAGGCAGCAGUGGGGAAUAUUGCACAAUGGGCGAAAGCCUGAUGCAGCUAUGCCGCGUGUAUGAAGAAGGCCUUAGGGUUGUAAAGUACUUUCAUCGGGGAGGAAAAACAAAACUAAUAAUUUUAUUUCUUGACGUUACCCGAAAAAGAAGCACCGGCUAACUCCGUGCCAGCAGCCGCGGUAAUACGGAGGGUGCUAGCGUUAAUCAGAAUUACUGGGCGUAAAGAGCACGUAGGUGGUUUUUUUAAGUCAGAUGUGAAAUCCCUGGGCUUAACCUGGAACUGCAUUUUGAAACUGAAAUACUAGAGUAUCGUAGAGGGAGGUAGAAUUCUAGGUGUAGCGGUGAAAUGCGUAGAUAUCUGGAGGAAUACCUGUGGCGAAAGCGGCCUCCUAAACGAAUACUGACACUGAGGGUGCGAAAGCGUGGGGAGCGAAACAGGGAUUAGGAUACC
rnacentral:rRNA from 1 species